GACGAACGCUGGCGGCGUGCUUAACACAUGCAAGUCGAGCGGAAAGGCCACUUCGGUGGUACUCGAGCGGCGAACGGGUGAGUAACACGUGAGUAAUCUGCCCUUGGCUUUGGGAUAGCCACCGGAAACGGUGAUUAAUACCGGAUACGACCACUUCACGCAUGUGAUGGUGGUGGAAAGUUUUUCGGCCAGGGAUGUGCUCGCGGCCUAUCAGCUUGAUGGUGAGGUAAUGGCUCACCAUGGCUUCGACGGGUAGCCGGCCUGAGAGGGUGACCGGUCACACUGGGACUGAGACACGGCCCAG
rnacentral:rRNA from 1 species